GAUGAACGCUGGCGGCGUGCUUAACACAUGCAAGUCGAACGAUGAUCCCAGCUUGCUGGGGGAUUAGUGGCGAACGGGUGAGUAACACGUGAGUAACCUGCCCUUAACUCUGGGAUAAGCCUGGGAAACUGGGUCUAAUACCGGAUAUGACUCCUCAUCGCAUGGUGGGGUGAAGCUUAUGUGUUUGGAUGGACUCGCGCCUAUCAGCUUGUUGGUGAGGUAAUGGCUCACCAAGGCGAUGACGGGUAGCCGGCCUGAGAGGGUGACCGGCCACACUGGGACUGAGACACGGCCCAGACUCCUACGGGAGGCAG
rnacentral:rRNA from 1 species